GACGGAGGGUGCUAGCGUUGUUCGGAAUUACUGGGCGUAAAGGGCUCGUAGGCGGCCAACUAAGUCAGACGUGAAAUCCCUCGGCUUAACCGGGGAACUGCGUCUGAUACUGGAUGGCUUGAGUUUGGGAGAGGGACGCGGAAUUCCAGGUGUAGCGGUGAAAUGCGUAGAUAUCUGGAGGAACACCGGUGGCGAAGGCGGCGUCCUGGACCAACACUGACACUGAGGAGCGAAAGCCAGGGGAGCAAACGGG
rnacentral:rRNA from 1 species